UGCCAUCUCAAUGCUCCUCAAGUUUCGUCGCACACUAGCAUGGAAAGUUAAGACUGCGUGCCAUGGCACCCAGUAUUGUCGACUUUGCAAGUACAAAGGGGGAAGAAUUAACCCAUUCAGAUGUGUUCAGUUUUCACCAACUGCAAGAACUGAGCCCGAGCCUGAGGACCAGCUUGACUAGAUGGAGAAACACCUAGAUUUGUAACCCCCACCUCCGGGUAUAUCUCCAUAGACAUCCAGGCAAGAAGGGCCCUCCCACGGAAAUCAACAAGUAUCUCAUUGCCUAAGAAGAAAUCUGAAAAGCAUUCAUAGGCUUCAAGAUAAUAUCUUUUGAAAUCUUCCUUGGCACUUCUUUCCAAAGUACCUUUUUUCUAAAAAUAGAAUUCUCAGAGUGACCAGAGCAAAUGAAGAUUGGGUGGGGGAAGAAAAUCUUUCUGCCAAGUUGUGAGAUGGAUGUGAAUUAAAGUCACUGAAAUGUGA